rnacentral:rRNA from 1 species
GGCAGCAGUAGGGAAUCUUCCGCAAUGGGCGCAAGCCUGACGGAGCAACGCCGCGUGAGUGAAGAAGGCCUUCGGGUUGUAAAACUCUGUCAUCAGGGAAGAAGAAAGUGACGGUACCUGAGGAGGAAGCCCCGGCUAACUACGUGCCAGCAGCCGCGGUAAAACGUAGGGGGCGAGCGUUGUCCGGAAUUACUGGGCGUAAAGGGCGCGUAGGCGGUUAUCCAAGUCAGGGGUGAAAACCUUGGGCUCAACUCAGGGCCUGCCUCUGAAACUGGGUAACUUGAGGGCAGGAGAGGGGAGUGGAAUUCCCAGUGUAGCGGUGAAAUGCGUAGAUAUUGGGAGGAACACCAGUGGCGAAGGCGGCUCUCUGGCCUAACCCUGACGCUGAGGCGCGAAAGCGUGGGGAUCAAACAGGAUUAGAUACCCUGGUAGUCCACGCCGUAAACGAUGAGUGCUAAGUGU